AGCACAUAUACAUUUAAGUACAUGAAAAAUACACAUAAUCUUUUUGAGACCAUCUAUGUGGUUUGGCAUAGGAAAUUCUCCAUGAGGAGACUCCCUUCAACAGGGCAGGCUUCUGCCAGUCCUUCAAUUUAUGGUCCUGGAGAAUUGCCAGAAGCAGUAAAAGGAUGGAGGGACUUGCUCACUAAUCACUUAGCCAAGAGGCAGGACUUGAACUCAAGACAAACUGACUCCAAGUCUGGAUCUCGACCUCUGAUGCAUCAUUGGCUGCCAUGGCAAACAUUUGCCAAAGGAAGCGCCAGAAAACGAGUCUGGCCUCCAUCUAGCUAUUUCCAUACAAAUCCACAAGACCAUGGAUUUAGAGACCAGCUGGAAUAUGGGACCAGAAAUAAAGAAGUACACAUUGAAAUAUGGAAGGCCAUUUGGAUCAGAGCAGCUGCCUUUGGGUGAAGUGAGGACACAGGCAUGAAGAACUGAAGCAACAUGCCUGAAAGCACACGAUUAAAAGUGGCUGAGGUGGGAUUUGAAACCCAAGUCAAGUGCCUUUUCCAAUAACAUGACAAAGGAGAACAUGGUCAGGGACCAUUAUAUCCCUCUACUCUAAGUUGGCCAGACAAAGUUCUGAGAGUUGUGAGUACAAGGAUGCUUGGAAAGAUUCAAGAGGAAUUAAAAACAAAUGCACUUAUUUUAGCAUCUCUACAAGCUGUGGUGUCUCCCGAGAGGUAGGACUCAUUUUCAAAUGGGUCUCUGGAGGAGAGGUGUCUAAGGCUCCCCAUUAGCAGCUCAGUACCCCCAGCUCCCCAACUCAGUAGCUUAAAACAGCCCAGGCAUCUGCUGGGGUAACACUGAGACCAAACACUCAAGUAUUCAAGAUUAUUAUAUUGAGAAGCAAAUGCAAGUUUAUGCAAAUUGAUCAAUAAGACUUAUCUAAUGGGCCAAUAGCUUAGAAGCAAAUGUUCUCAAUGUAUAAUGUCAGCUGGUUUGCAUUAAAAGACCUGGGUCUAAAUUCUGGUUCUGACACUCUGCCUAUGUGAGUCUGGGCAAACCUUUCUACUGCUCUCCCCUGAAAUUCUGGGUCUGUAGAAUGAUGAGAGUACUAGGGAAGCCUGGUCCCUCACAGGGCUUUGGUGAGGAAAGUACUUUACCUAACUUAACG
rnacentral:lncRNA from 1 species